rnacentral:lncRNA from 1 species
CGAAAGAACACUCAGAAACUGGACACUGCAAAUGACUCAGGGGGAAGGUAUUUCCCCUCUGCUACCUCCGCGUGAAUUUAAAUUAUGGUACUGGAGUACAAUUAUGGUGCUGGAGGAGACUCUUGAAAGUCCCAUGGACUGCAAGAAGAUCAAACCUAUUCAUUCUGAAGGAAAUCAGCCCUGAGUGCUCACUGGAAGGACAGAUCCUGAAGCUGAGGCUCCAAUACUUUGGCCACCUCAUGAGAAGAGAAGACUCCCUGGAAAAGACCCUGAUGUUGGGAAAGAUGGAGGGCACAAGCAGAAGGGGACGAUAGAGGAUGAGAUGGUGGGUCAGUGGUGUAGUGGUUAAGAGCGGUAGUCUCGUAAUCUGGGGAACCGGGUUUGCGUCUCCGCUCCUCCACAUGCAGCUGCUGGGUGACCUUGGGCCAGUCACACUUCUCUGAAGUCUCUCAGCCCCACUCACCUCACAGAGUGUUUGUUGUGGGGGAGGAAGGGAAAGGAGAAUGUUAGCCGCUUUGAGACUCCUGAAGGGGAGUGAAAGGCGGGAUAUCAAAUCCAAACUCCUCCUCCUCCUCCUCCUCCUCCUCCUCCUCUUCUUCUUCUUCUUCUUCUUCUUCUUCUUCUUCUUCUUCUUCUUCUUCAGUGUUCUGGAAGCUACCAGCAUGAGUCUGACCAAACUGUGGGAGGCAAUGGAAGACAGGAGUGCCUGGUAUGCUCUGGUCCAUGGGGUCACGAAGAGUCGGACACGACUAAACGACUAAACAACAACAACCUCUGGGUGAAGACUGAGAGAGCCGGGCUCUUCCCCAUCAAAAUAUGUGUCCUUGCACCUCUGGCCUUAGCCACACUGCUAAGCUAGGUAGCAGGGUUGCUGCCUGCCACCCACUGCAGACCCAGGACAAAUGGAUCUG